rnacentral:rRNA from 1 species
AGUGAACGCUGGCGGUAGGCCUAACACAUGCAAGUCCAACGGCAGCACAGUAAGAGCUUGCUCUUACGGGUGGCGAGUGGCGGACGGGUGAGGAAUACAUCGGAAUCUACUUUUUCGUGGGGGAUAACGUAGGGAAACUUACGCUAAUACCGCAUACGACCUACGGGUGAAAGCAGGGGAUCUUCGGACCUUGCGCGAUUGAAUGAGCCGAUGUCGGAUUAGCUAGUUGGCGGGGUAAAGGCCCACCAAGGCGACGAUCCGUAGCUGGUCUGAGGGGAUGAUCAGCCACACUGGAACUGAGACACGGUCCAGACUCCUACGGGAGGCAGCAGUGGGGAAUAUUGGACAAUGGGCGCAAGCCUGAUCCAGCCAUACCGCGUGGGUGAAGAAGGCCUUCGGGUUGUAAAGCCCUUUUGUUGGGAAAGAAAAGCAGCAGGUUAAUACCCCGCUGUUCUGACGGUACCCAAAGAAUAAGCACCGGCUAACUUCGUG